AGGUUUCAGCACUGAAGGUUGACCUCGCAGGAGAGAGCCCCUUGUACAUAAUUAGGAAUACAAACAAAUCAGAAGUAUGUUUUAGAAUGUAUAUCCGGAGGAGAACUUGUCCCUAGACAGCAGCUGUGGUUGCUGCAGAGUUCAGCCAGAUGAGGCGCUGUGGGUCAUGUUGCUACGCUUCAGUAAAAGCUCAAACAGGCUUCACUAUUGAUCACCAGCCUCAGUCAGGACAAAUGGCAACUCAUUGAAAUGGGCAACAGGCUCCGGGCACAGUUGAUAGAAGCAGGACUAGAGGAACCAAUCUGAAGCUCCAGUCCGUCCCUACAGAACGUGUGGAAGAUGCUUGAUUGAGGUUCAAGUUCCUCUGUGUUUUCUUCAAGUUACAGUUAAGACAAAGAUUGAACUGCAGUAACCCAGCGCUGUCCAGCCCCUCCCUCAUGAUGACAUCACAGCCUCAGCAGGUGUAGGAUUCCACUCCUCCCACAACAUUGUCCUGACAUCACCCUAUCUCCUAGCAACACCCUUGCAUUCAUUCUGAUUGGGUGGUUCUACACACCUCCGCUCACUGAUUGGUGAAUUCCUUUCCACUGGAAACCGUCAAAAUUGCAUCCCCUGUGUCUCUCACGUGUUUCCAGAGCUCCACAGCGCCGCCUAUAGACACCUGCUACAACGCAAUCUGUGUGCUGCAUUCAUGUGCUGCUACUACUGCAUCUAACCAACAGUUACAUCAAUACAAUAUGUAUUAAACGAACAUAAUUUUAAACAAUGUACUCAGUAUUUUUCCACCCCGGAUUUAUAGAGUGCAUAUAUGUCUGCUCAACUUUAGAUUGGAUCCUAUAGCAUAAAAAAGCCAAAUGGCGUAUUAAUGUGCCACUUUUGUGUUAUCCAACAAAAAAAGCACACUGAUUUUCUGUGCUUAUUUAAAUUUGUAUUUAGGAAAUUUUAUAAAUAUUUAAACAGACUAAAAAUUAAAGCUAAAUAUAACCAGUGAUUGUAAUACCUGAUGCCCUCCCUUAUGUUUAAACAAGUAACUCAUAUUAUGACAGAUAAAAUAUCGAUGCUAAGAUUUAAUAGAAAUUCAGUGUUGCGUGCUAAAUUGACCCAAUUUCACAUUGUUUGCAAACCGCAGACACUCGACCCGGGUCAACUUGAACUUGAACUUGAACUUGCUCACCCAUACCCGUAAAAGCAGAAAUGUUAGCUGUUGUACAUGUGAUCAUACCGGUAUGAACUCUAGUAACCCGGUCUUAAUAGAAUUUUUUUUCUCUCUCUCUCUCUCUG